CUCUACAGUCAUACCACCCUGAACAGGCCUGAUCUCAUCUGAUCUCAGAAGCUAAGCAGGGUCGGGCCUGGUUAACACUUGGCCGUGAGACCACUUGGGAAUACCAGAUACUGUCAUCU
ensembl:rRNA 5S_rRNA 5S ribosomal RNA